UUUAAAGAAAACUAAAUAAAAUAUUAGAGUUUGACUAUUUAAACAUUCAUAAACACUCGUUUAUUGUGUUAGUGGGGUGUAUUCCUUAACCGGAAGCGCAACACAACAUUUUCUGAAGUUCGAUGUGGUGAAGACGGAGAUAAGAGUGGGGUGUAUUCGUAAACUGGAAGCACAACGCAACGUUUUCUGAAGCGCAAUGUGGUGACGAUGGUGAAAGGAGUGCGAACAUUUGUGGUGCAACAAUAGAAGGAUAUGGUGCAUCCUGUUUUUGGAGUCCAAUGCUGUCUGCAGAAAUACACAGAGAAGUUGAUUCUGUUUAAUGGUGUACAUCUCUGACAAUGCUGAUAAUCUCAUCAGGCAUUACCAGGAUAGCCAUGGUGACCUAAAGGAACUGGAACAGCACACACACUGAGGAUUAUCACAAAGCUGGCUUCAUGGAUGAUCCUUUAGAGACUGUAACUUUCUUUUGGUCAAAUUGUCACUUUUCUCAGAAGUACUACAGUCAUGAUUUUUGGUUUUAGACUAUUUAAGUUGCUGUUUCCAGAGUAGUAUUGCAAUCUCUGUCAGAAAACCUAAAAUGCUUUAUUUUUGUACUGAUUUUACUAAUUGUACUAAUUGUGUGAAAACCUUUUGUUGAAAUGCUGUCCAAAAAUGAAGUAAAAUGCUGUUUUGUGUUUAUUGUA